CACCAGACUCCUACGGGAGGCAGCAGUGGGGGAUAUUGCACAAUGGGGGGAACCCUGAUGCAGCGACGCCGCGUGGGUGAAGGAGUAUUUCGGUAUGUAAAGCCCUAUCGGCAGGGAAGAAGCAAGACGGUACCUGACUAAGAAGCCCCGGCUAACUACGUGCCAGCAGCCGCGGUAAUACGUAGGGGGCGAGCGUUAUCCGGAUUUACUGGGUGUAAAGGGGGCGCAGACGGCGAUGCAAGCCAGGAGUGAAAGCCCGGGGCCCAACCCCGGGACUGCUCUUGGAACUGCGUGGCUGGAGUGCAGGAGGGGCAGGCGGAAUUCCUGGUGUAGCGGUGAAAUGCGUAGAUAUCAGGAGGAACACCGGUGGCGAAGGCGGCCUGCUGGACUGCAACUGACGUUGAGGCCCGAAAGCGUGGGGAGCAAACAGGAUUAGAUACCCGAGUAU
rnacentral:rRNA from 1 species